UACGAACGGUCCAAACGUUAUUCGGAAUCACUGGGCGUAAAGGGCGCGUAGGCGGCCAUUCAAGUCGGAGGUGAAAGCCCAGGGCUCAACCCUGGAAUUGCCUUCGAUACUGUUUGGCUAGAGACCGGAAGAGGUAAGUGGAACUGCGAGUGUAGAGGUGAAAUUCGUAGAUAUUCGCAAGAACACCAGUGGCGAAGGCGGCUUACUGGUCCGGUUCUGACGCUGAGGCGCGAAAGCGUGGGGAGCAAACAGG
rnacentral:rRNA from 1 species